rnacentral:lncRNA from 1 species
AGCAAUUUUUGGCAGCAACUAAUGAAGAUGAUAACCAAUUUUGUGUUAUUUUUCCCAUUUUAUUUCAUUUAAUAUACAAAUGACCAAAAUGCCCUUACUACUAAACUUUAAAAAAAAAUUCUCUCCAUGUCCAACUUUUGUCCAUAACUUAAGAAUUGGUCAAAUUGCGAUUUAAGACCUCCUAGUUAAUAUCCCAAAGCAAUUUCAUACUAAAAACUUCUAAAACACGAGUUUUACAAUUUAUUCGAUUUAGUCCCUAAUCUCAACUUAAGCGCGAAAUGCACAGAAUUUCAUCACGAAAUUUUCACGAAAUCAUAAAAUCAUAUCAUAAACCCCAAAAUAAUUAUAAAACAAUUAUUUCUAUCUCAGAUUUGUGGUCAUGAAACCACUAUUCCGAUUAGGCCCUAAUUGGAGUUGUCACAAUUCUCCCCCUUUAGAGAUUUUCGUCCCCGAAAAUCUUACCGGUAAAGAGGUUCAGGUACUGUUUCCUCAUAGCUUCCUCGAGUUCCCACGUAGCCUCUUCUAUCCCAUGUCUAUGCCACAAUACUUUCACUAAGGCUAUACUUUUAUUUCUUAACUGUUUAAUUUCUCGAGCCAAAAUCUUUAUUGGUUCCUCCUCAUAGGUCAUAUCUGGUCGAAUCUCAAUUUCUGUUGGAGAAAUCACAUGUGAAGGAUCAGAACGAUAACGUCGCAACAUUGAUACAUGAAACACGUUAUGAAUUCUUUCUAACUCUGCCGGUAAGGCCAACCGAUAUGCCACUGGUCCAAUCCUCUCAGUAAUCUCGUACGGUCCAAUAAAACGCGGACUCAACUUGCCUUUUCGGCUAAAUCUCAGAAUCUUUUUCCAUUGUGACACCUUCAAGAACACUUUAUCACCCACCUAAAAUUCAAUCUCUUUUCUUUUUAAAUCUACAUAUGACUUUUUUCGAUCUGAAGCAGCUUUCAAGCAAUCCCGAAUUACUUUUAUUUUCUCUUCGGUUUCUUUAACUAGAUCAACUCCAUGAACCUGUUUCUCACUAAGUUCAGUCCAAUAUAAAGGAGUCCGACACUUACGACCAUACAAGGCUUCGUACGGUGCCAUUUGUAUACUUGACUGAUAACUGUUAUUGUAGGCAAAUUCAAUCAAAGAUAGAUAUUUCUCCCAACUACCUGCAAAUUCUAAGACACAGCAUCUAAGCAUAUCCUCGAGUACCUGGAUUACUCUUUCCGACUGACCAUCUAUUUGUGGAUGAAACGCGGUACUAAAGUUCAAUUUUGUACCCAAAGCUUCUUGUAACUUUUUCCAAAAUCUCGAGGUAAAUCUCAGAUCUCUAUCUGAUAUUAUAGACAUAGGUACUCCGUGCAACCUCACAAUUUCAGCAAUAUAUAAUUCGGCUAAUUUAUCAAGUGAGUAAUCGAUACAUAUUGGUAUAAAGUGGGCUGACUUUGUUAAUCUAUCAACCACUACCCAGAUAGCAUCCUUCUUUUUAGGAGUUAAAGGCAAACUGAUUACAAAAUCCAUGGUAAUCUUGUCCCAUUUCCACUCAGGCACCAUUACCGGUUGAAGUAAUCCUGAAGGCACUUGAUGUUCAGCUUUUACUUGUUGACAGAUCAAACACUUGGUUACAAAUUCAGAAAUGUCCCUUUUCAUACCUGGCCACCAAUACAACUUCUUUAAAUCAUUAUACAUUUUUGUGCUACCAGGGUGAACUGAUAAACAGCCAGUGUGCACCUCAUGUAAUAUUUUCUGAAUCAAUUCAUCGUUUUUCGGUACACAUAUCCUGUCUCGAAACAUCAAACAGUCAUCUGGUCCAACUCAAAAAUCUGAGUCGUAACCUGAUUUGCAUUGAGUUCUCUUGGUUCGCAACUCACUAUCGUUCUUUUGAGCAUCACAAAUCAACUGGAGAAAUAACGGUUUAGCCCUCAUUUCUGCUAAGAUUGACCCAUCAUCAGACAAUGCUAACUCCGUAUUCAUGGCUCUCAAAGUAAAAAGAAAUUUCCUGCUCAAGGCGUCAGCAACUACAUUUUCUUUUCUCGGAUGAUAAUCAAUCACUAGAUCAUAAUCCUUUAAUAAUUCAAGCCAUCUCCUCUGUCGCAGAUUCAAAUCCUUUUGAUUCAUCAAAUACUUCAAACUUUUGUGAUCAGUAAAAAUUCGGCAUUUUUCACCAUACAAAUAAUGUCGCCAAAUCUUCAAGGCAAAGACAAUAGCGACCAAUUCCAAAUCAUGUGUAGGAUAGUUCUUUUCAUGCGGUUUUAACUGUCUCGAAGCAUAAGCUACAACUUUACCCUAUUGCAUCAACACACAUCCAAGGCCUGUCAAUGAUGCAUCACUAUAAAUUACGAACUCCUUUCCUGGCUCGGGCUGUACUAAAAUUGGUGCUUCAGUCAAUCGUGCUUUCAACUUUUCAAAACUCUGCUGACAUUUAUCAGUCCAUUCAAACUUAACAUUCUUUUGCAACAACUUAGUCAUAGGAGAGGCAACCAUCAAAAAUCCCUCAACAAAACGUCUAUAAUACCCGGUUAAGCCUAAAAAGCUUCUAACCUCGAAUACAUUCUUUGGCGGUUUCCAAUCAACGAUCGCAUAAAUCUUGCUUGGAUCCACCCGAAUACCAUCACCUGAGACUAUAUGUCCCAAAAAUCUGACUUCACAAAGCCAGAAGUCACUUCUACUGAACUUAGCAAACAGUUUCUUUUCUCUCAAGAUCUACAAUAUGGUUCUCAAGUGUUCGGCAUGUUUAGACUCAUCCCAAGAAUAAAUUAGAAUGUCAUCUAUAAACACUACUACAAACUUAUCCAAAUAUGGCCAAAAGAUCCGAUUCAUUAAGUCCAUAAAUAUAGCUGGAGCAUUUGUUAAGCCGAAAGGCAUCACAAGAAACUCAUAAUGUCCAUACCUUGUCCUAAAGGCGGUUUUCGGCACAUCCGACUCCUUAACUCUCAACUGGUAGUAACUAGACCUCAAAUCGAUCUUUGCAAACACUGUGGCCCCCUUUAACUAAUCGAAUAAAUCAUCAAUCCUCGGCAAUGUGUACUUGUUCUUUAUAUUCACCUUAUUAAGCUGACGGUAAUCAAUGCAAAGUCUCAUUGAACCAUCCGUCUUCUUUACGAACAAUACAGGAGCACCCCAGGGAGAGAAACUCGGUCUCACAAAGCCCUUGUCUGUUAACUCCUGCAACUGAGCCUUCAAUUCUUUUAAUUCAGUCGGAGCCAUUUUAUAUGGAGCAAUCGAGAUCGGUGCAGUACCCGGCAACAAAUCAAUGGCAAAAUCUAUCUCUCUGUUCGGAGGCAACCCAGGCAAUUCCUCUGGAAAUACAGCUGGAAACUCACAGACUAUCGGUACUGAUUCAAACUUCAGUUGAGGCAACUCAAUAUUCAUUACAUAAGCCAGAUAAGCUUUACACCCUUUCCUCAUGUAUUUCUGUGCAGACAUGUGCGAAAUCACCAUAGGCAAUUUAUUUGAUUCAUCUGUUUCAACCUACAGAAUUUCUCCAUUUUCACAUUUCAACUCUAGUGUUUUUUUGUUUACAAUCUACCUUGGCAUCAUACAAUGUCAACCAGUCCAUUCCCAAGAUAACGUCAAACUCAUCAAAUGGUAACAGCAUCAAAUUAGCCAGAAAACAGUGACCUUGAAUCAUUAAUGGGCAAUUCUUGCAAACCUUGUCAACUAGCACAUAUUGGCCUAAGGGGUUCGACACUUUAAUCGUAACCUCAGUAAACUCAACAGGCAACUUUUUAUUAGAUACUAAAUUCAUGCAAAUAUAGGAAUGAGUGGACCCAGGAUCAAUCAAUGCAAUAACAAUAGUAUCAUAAAGAGAAAAUGUACCAGUAAUGACAUCGGGAGAUGAUGCAUCUUCUCGGGCACGUAUAGCAUAAGCUUUAGCAGGUGCUCUAGCUUCUGAUCUUGCCGUUGAAUCUUUCAUCGCAAUUUUACUGCUAGUCCCACCUCCAGUAUUUCUCGGUGGUCUACCUCUACUAGCGGUGGUAUUCUGUCUAGCACUUUGAAAUCUUUCUUCUUUAACUUUCUCCGGACAGUCUCUAAUAAAAUGCUCGCGAGAACCGCACUUGAAACAAGCUCGCUCGGUUCCCCAACACUCACCAUAAUGUUGCCUGCCACAUUGCUGACACUCGGGCUUUCUAGGUCGCACAUUACCCACAUUUGCCACUGAAGUAGCUUGAGCUUUAGACCCCAAAUAUGCUCUACCACGAUCUCUGUGUGAAUCCCCAAUUGAAACUGUCACUCGAGGGUUUGUCUCUUUGGACCUCUUUGAUUGAGAUUGAAAUGGCUUGCUUAUCGGCCUUUUUCUAGCAUCUCGAGCCUCAAUAGCAGCUUUUCUUCUUUCUUUGUUAAAUUCUUCGGCUUUAAGAGCUCGAUCAACCAAUACUACAAAUUCUUUCAACUCCAAAAUUCCUACAAGCACUUUAAUGUCCUCAUUUAGCCCAUCUUCAAACCUUCUGCACAUAAUGGCCUCGGUGGACACACAUUCCUGGGCAUACUUGCUGAGUCUCACAAAUUCGCGUUCAUACUCUGCCGCAGACAUCUUGCCCUGCUUCAAUUCAAGGAACUCCUUCCGUUUUUGAUCAAUAAAUCGCUGACUUAUGUAUUUCUUUCUAAAUUCUUCCUGGAAGAAAUCCCAAGUAACUCUUUCUUUUGGCACCACUGCUACCAAAGUCUUCCACCAGUGGUAGGCCAAAUCUUUCAAAAGUGAUACAGCACACUUUAAGCACUCCUCGGGUGUACAUGAGAGCUCAUCAAAUACACGGGUAGAAUUUUCAAGCCAGAAUUUCGCUUUCUCAGGAUCAUCAUCGAUCUUUGCUCUAAACUCUUCAGCCCCUUGUUUUAGAAUCUUGUCAACCGGAGGCUUGUUCAUUCUUACCAAAUCUAUGCCUUGAGUAGCUACAGGAAUCGUCUGAGGUAUAGGAGGGGGUGGAGGAGGUUGGGAAUUUGGAUUUGCUCGAAUAAAUUCAAUAUACCAAUUGUUCAUCAUGUGGAGAAAGGCAUCCCGAGCCUCAUCUCCCUAUCUCAAUGUCUCAGGUCUACUUUCCACAGGCGCGGUCCCUUGUGCGGGAGCCGACGCAUUACUAGCAGCACCAUCAGCCGCAGUUCCUUCAGGAUCCAUUACUAUAUUAAAACAAAUCACAGUUUAGAAUAAUCAGGAGUCACCACACUAUCACAAUAUUUUUAUGGCAUGUAUAACUAGACUUUUACACACACUUUAUUAGUCCGAGAAUCGACUAAACCAUAGCUCUGAUACCACUAAAUGUAGCACCCCUUACCCGUAUCCGUCGCUAGAACAGGGUACGAGGUAUUAACAAAUUAUAGUAUAUACUAUUAAAUAAAACCCAAUAAAAAUAUGGCGUGCAAUUUGAUCAUGGAUCAUUAUAACAUAUGCCAUUAACAAUACAAACCAACUUCAAAGGCUUUGUAUAAAAUGAUUAGUUUGAUACUAUAAGUAGUAAUUUAAACCUAGACAAUUAUAACACGUAACAAAAUAACUAAGUCUGCUAUACAUGCCAUAUUUCAAAAUGUUGAGUUCAGAUACCAAGAGUAUUGAUAGUGCGGGCGGAUCUUCUACGAUCUCUGACUCCUGUGCUAGCUGGAUGACACUAUAAGGCAAAGGAGAGAAAAGAAAGUAAGCUUAUAGCUUAGUAAGCAAGUAUAUAAAUAACAAAUAAGGAAUCUAAUAUGUUUACAACAUGACUCAAUUAUAUCAUAUUUUUAAUGUUACUGUUUACUCCAAUUUGAUCAAGCUGUCCCUCCUGCAUCAUGAUCACUAAAUAAAUCAUAACUCGAGUUACGAAACUCGAAAUUCAAAUCUGUAAAAUUUCCCUGAAUCUAGACUCAUAAAAAUUCUUACAAAUUGUUUUCUAGAAUUUUUGGUUUAGCCAAUUAGUACAGUUUAUUAUUUAAAGUUCCCCAUGUUACACAGCUCAACUGAUCUGACCUCUGUUCAUUACGAAUUUAAUUUCUCUCAAUACACAAUACAAAUAACCAUGAAACCUAUUUCAUUUAAAACUAGACUCAAUAAUAAAUUUAGGAAUAUAAACUAUAUUUCUUAAUUUGUUUUUUACAAUUUUUAAUGAUUUUUCAAAGUUGAAAUAGGGGAUCACAUAGUCAUCCUGAGCAAGUCUCACACAAUUGUAAAUAUCUCAAAAUAUAGAAUUCUUUUGCUUGAUCUGUUUCUUUUAUAUGAAAAUAGACUCAUUAAGAUUUAAUUACACAUCUCAUUCAAUCUUUGAUUAAAUUCCUUAUAUUUUUUGUGAAUUUUCAAAAUCACGUCACUGCUACUAUCCAAAACAAUUUUAAUGCUAAUUUCACUCUUUCACACAUUCUUUAUACUAACCUCAUUUUAACUUACAUAUAUAUAUACCACAAAUCAUUUUCACCACAUUUCAUACAUCACAAGUGUAGGUCCAUGACUACAAUGUCACCACAAAACCAUCCCGUUGAACAAUUCGGAUUAAUCCUUGAUACUUGAUGGUUUCAGCACACAGCCCCACCAUCAUAUUUCAUUUAAUUCGGCUCUCUUGUACACAUGGUGAACACUUAGUACCACUCAUGCGACCUAGCCGAUUUGUCUCGUAACUCUCUUGUCUACAUGGUGUCCUUCACUUGGAAUCACGCAUGCGACCUAGCUACAUUUAUCUCUCACGUAGCUCUCUUGUCUACAUGGGAUACAUCCCGUAUCGCACAUGUGACCUAGCUACUAUAUAGUAUCUCGUAGCCUUCUUGUACACAUGAUAUGCACUCGGCACCAUACAUGUGACCUAGCUACGCUCUCUCUAUUUUAUUCGAUUUUUCUGAAUGUUCAACUGGGAUCUCUCUCUCUAUUACUUAUUUUCAUUCUUCCAAUAGUCGAUUUAUACUUCAACAUCAGCUAAUAUAUAUAUAAUAGGCUGAAAAAUAAGAAUGUAAAUGAAAUUAAUGUAUUAUUUACAUAAAAACUUACCUCGGUGCAAAAUAUGGGAAUUUUGCAAUUUAGUCCAAAACUUUCUCCUUCCCCCGUUCGAGGUCGAUUCCACGCCUUUCUUGAUUAUGAAGCUUGAAAGUUGAAGAAACCCUAGCUAUGGAGGAGAGCAAUUUUCGGCAGCAACUAAUGAAGAUGAUAACCAAUUUUGUGUUAUUUUUCCCAUUUUAUUUCAUUUAAUAUACAAAUGACCAAAAUGCCCUUACUACUAAACUUUAAAAAAAAUUCUCUCCAUGUCCAACUUUUGUCCAUAACUUAAGAAUGGGUCAAAUUGCGAUUUAAGACCUCCUAGUUAAUAUCCCAAAGCAAUUUCAUACUAAAAACUUCUAAAACACGAGUUUUACAAUUUAUUCG